CAUUACCGAGUUUACAACUCCCAAACCCAAUGUGAACGUUACCAAACUGUUGCCUCGGCGGGGUCACGCCCCGGGUGCGUCGCAGCCCCGGAACCAGGCGCCCGCCGGAGGAACCAACCAAACUCUUUCUGUAGUCCCCUCGCGGACGUAUUUCUUACAGCUCUGAGCAAAAAUUCAAAAUGAAUCAAAACUUUCAACAACGGAUCUCUUGGUUCUGGCAUCGAUGAAGAACGCAGCGAAAUGCGAUAAGUAAUGUGAAUUGCAGAAUUCAGUGAAUCAUCGAAUCUUUGAACGCACAUUGCGCCCGCCAGUAUUCUGGCGGGCAUGCCUGUCCGAGCGUCAUUUCAACCCUCGAACCCCUCCGGGGGAUCGGCGUUGGGGAUCGGGACCCCUCACACGGGUGCCGGCCCCGAAAUACAGUGGCGGUCUCGCCGCAGCCUCUCCUGCGCAGUAGUUUGCACAACUCGCACCGGGAGCGCGGCGCGUCCACGUCCGUAAAACACCCAACUUUCUGAAAUGUUGACCUCGGAUCAGGUAGGAAUACCCG
rnacentral:misc_RNA from 1 species